UACGUAAGGGGCGAGCGUUGUUCGGAUUAACUGGGUGUAAAGGGUCCGCAGGUGGCUUGGUCAGUCAAGAGUGAAAUCCCGUGGCUCAACCGCGGAACGGCUCUUGAUACUGCCGAGCUUGAGUAUGGGAGAGGUAAGCAGAAUUCCCGGUGUAGCGGUGAAAUGCGUAGAUAUCGGGAGGAAUACCAGUGGCGAAGGCGGCUUACUGGCCCAUCACUGACACUCAUGGACGAAGGUGCGGGUAGCAAACAGG
rnacentral:rRNA from 1 species